rnacentral:rRNA from 1 species
AGAGUUUGAUCCUGGCUCAGGACGAACGCUGGCGGCGUGCUUAACACAUGCAAGUCGAACGGAAAGGCCCCUUCGGGGGUACUCGAGUGGCGAACGGGUGAGUAACACGUGGGUGAUCUGCCCUGCACUUUGGGAUAAGCCUGGGAAACUGGGUCUAAUACCGAAUAGGACCGCAUGCUUCAUGGUGUGUGGUGGAAAGCUUUUGCGGUGUGGGAUGGGCCCGCGGCCUAUCAGCUUGUUGGUGGGGUAAUGGCCUACCAAGGCGACGACGGGUAGCCGGCCUGAGAGGGUGUCCGGCCACACUGGGACUGAGAUACGGCCCAGACUCCUACGGGAGGCAGCAGUGGGGAAUAUUGCACAAUGGGCGCAAGCCUGAUGCAGCGACGCCGCGUGGGGGAUGACGGCCUUCGGGUUGUAAACCUCUUUCAGUAUCGGCGAAGCUCCAGGAUUUUUCUUGGGGUGACGGUAGGUACAGAAGAAGCACCGGCCAACUACGUGCCAGCAGCCGCGGUAAUACGUAGGGUGCGAGCGUUGUCCGGAAUUACUGGGCGUAAAGAGCUCGUAGGUGGUUUGUCACGUUGUCUGUGAAAACUCACAGCUCAACUGUGGGCGUGCGGGCGAUACGGGCAGACUGGAGUACUGUAGGGGAGACUGGAAUUCCUGGUGUAGCGGUGGAAUGCGCAGAUAUCAGGAGGAACACCGGUGGCGAAGGCGGGUCUCCGGGCAGUAACUGACGCUGAGGAGCGAAAGCGUGGGGAGCGAACAGGAUUAGAUACCCUGGUAGUCCAA